AUUGAACGCUGGCGGCAGGCUUAACACAUGCAAGUCGAACGAGUGGCGGACGUGUGAGUAAUGCUUGAGAAUCUAGCUUCUGGUGGGGGAUAACUACGGGAAACUGUAGCUAAUACCGCGUACCAUAGGAUGAGCCAAAGUGGGAUUAGGUAGUUGGUGGGGUAACGGCUCACCACGGCGACGAUCCCUCGCUGGUCUGAGAGGAUGAUAAGCCACACUGGGACUGAGACACGGCCCAGACUCCUACGGGAGGCAGCAGUGGGGAAUAUUGCACAAUGGGCGCAAGCCUGAUGCAGCCAUGCCGCGUGUAUGAAGAAGGCCUUCGGGUUGUAAAGUACUUUCAGUCGGGAGGCGUUACCGACAGAAGAAGCACCGGCUAACUCCGUGCCAGCAGCCGCGGUAAUAC
rnacentral:rRNA from 1 species